rnacentral:tRNA from 1 species
GAAUUAAAUAGCUCAGUUGGUUAGAGCAUGGUGCUUAUAAUGCCAAGGUUGCAGGUUUGAUCCCCGUAUGAAACA